rnacentral:rRNA from 1 species
UACGUAGGGGGCGAGCGUUGUCCGGAAUGACUGGGCGUAAAGGGCGUGUAGGCGGUCAACUAAGUCUGGAGUGAAAGUCCUGCUUUUAAGGUGGGAAUUGCUUUGGGUACUGGAUGACUUGAGUGCAGAAGAGGUAAGCUGAAUUCCCAGUGUAGCGGUGAAAUGCGUAGAGAUUGGGAGGAACACCAGUGGCGAAGGCGGCUUACUGGGCUGUAACUGACGCUGAGGCGCGAAAGCGUGGGGAGCGAAC